rnacentral:rRNA from 1 species
AGAGCGAACGCUGGCGGCAGGCCUAAUACAUGCAAGUCGAACGGACCCUUCGGGGUUAGUGGCGGACGAGUGAGUAACACGUGGGAACGUGCCCUUUGGUUCGGAACAACUCAGGGAAACUUGAGCUAAUACCGAAUGUGCCCCCAUCCUUAAACAAGAUGGGUGGGAAAGAUUUAUCGCCAUUGGAGCGGCCCGCGUCUGAUUAGCUAGUUGGUGAGGUAAAGGCUCACCAAGGCGACGAUCAGUAGCUGGUCUGAGAGGAUGAUCAGCCACACUGGGACUGAGACACGGCCCAGACUCCUACGGGAGGCAGCAGUAGGGAAUCUUGCGCAAUGGGCGAAAGCCUGACGCAGCCAUGCCGCGUGAAUGAUGAAGGUCUUAGGAUUGUAAAAUUCUUUCAGCGGGGGCGAUAAUGACGGUACCCGCAGAAGAAGCCCCGGCUAACUUCGUGCCAGCAGCCGC